rnacentral:lncRNA from 1 species
CGGAGCUCCGGGGGAUCUGAGUAUCUCAUAGUCUUUCUUUCUUUCCUUUUGAUCUCCACCUGCAGGUUCGAAAUUCUUUCAGCUGUUAAAAUAUGGGAAAUUCAACGUCUAUCCCUGUAAACUCACUUGGGAUUCCAUAUUAAAUAGUUGAAAUUUCUACACUCAAAGCACAGAUUUACAAGGCUCGGCGUAGGGUCCCAUGUUAGUAGAAGGCACGAGAAAGAUCUGUGAGUAAACCAGUGAGUCAUGAUCAAGUCCCGGGAGUGACUCGGGGAGAGAAUGGGAACCUGUUUGGGUCUUGAUUAGACUGAAACCUUAAGAAGUGAACGAACACUGACCCAAGUUCUCAGGAGGGAUGGAGUCUCCUGGGCACCAGCUGCAGACUUGAGGAGAGAAUUUCAAAAGCCAACUCCGGGUCCUCAGUCCCCUGUCACCCAAUUUUUAAAUUUGACCUUUGGGGCAUUCAACAAAAAGAUAAAGGGCCCCAUGAAAUCUUGGAGACAGCGACGGGAGAACAAGCCCAGGGCUUGCCCUGACCACAGGCCCGGCCCCUCAGAGAUGAUAUCCAAGGGCUCCACGCCAAAGAGGGAAAAGAGUUGGAGACCUAGAGGAUGUCACCAUGGCAGACUGUCCCCAGCAGGGCCCAUCGACACAGGGGCCGUGCCCCCUUCAUAGAGAGGGGGACCCUGGGGAAGAGAUUGCCUCACCUCCGGAGAGGGACAGGAGGCCAUCUGCCCCAUCAAGGUGCUGCCCCAUCAAGGUGCCCUGGAAGACAGAUGCCUGAGGCCUCUCAAGUCCCCUUUGACCUUCUGGACGUCACCACAGAAGAGGCUCAGAGACUCUUGAUGUGGCAGCCUGUGGAUACUGGAGCUCAACUCUCUGCCUUUCUAAUCAAACUGCGUGGCCACUGCACCCUGAGGCCAGUUGACUCGCAGAGCCUUUCACUUGCAGAUUUAAAAACCUGAUUUUCGGGCUGGGGAUGUGGCUCAAGCGGUAGCGCGCUCGCCUGGCAUGCGUGCGGCCCAGGUUCGAGCCUCAGCACCACAUACAAACAAAGAUGUUGU